UGUCAUUUUUAAUGUUCUUUCUCAUUGAUUUGCAUAAACAUCUGUAUUUUUCCGAUAUAAGUCAGAAUUUUGAAAUAUACAGGUUAAGCUUUUAAAAAAUGUAAGUACUCAUUUUAAACUACAAAACCUACUGAACUAGAUAUGUAUACAAGAUCUCUUCUCUCUCUCUCUCUCUCUCUCUCUCUCUCUCCCUCCCUCCCUCUCGGUAACACUGGGAAUUGAAUCCAGGACCUUUGCACUGACCCACAUCUGCAACAUUUUUUGUGACAGGGUUCUUGAUAAGUUGCUAAGUUGUCUGUGUUGGUCUUGAACUUGCCAUCACCUUGCCUUGGGCACCUAGAGCACUGAACAAGGAUUCUUAAAGGCAGGAUGGCUCAUUUAUUCUUUUUGGUUUUUUUGUGAAAGGGUCUCACUAUGUAGUUGAGGCUGACCUGGAACUGGCUAUGUCGCCCAGGCUGGUCUUGAACUCACAGCGAUCCUCCUGCCUCAGUCUCCCGAGUGCUGGGAUUACAGGUGUGCACCACCACGCCCGGCUCAGCUUAUUUAUUCUUAUUGUCGUUUUUCAUAUAUGUAUGAAUAUCUACUUAUUUGUAUGGUUACAAAUACACUUCUAGCAAUAUGUAUUGUUUGACAGGGAGCUUAUAGAUCAUGCCUUUAAGAAGACUGCAGUUCAGAAAAGCAGAACAAUGUACACACAGUGGCUGUAAUAUGGGUUGAAUGUGUAAUUUCAUCGACUCUAAGAUGCACGUUUUGUCUUCCGGUCCACAGUGUUGUAGAUGUGCUCAAUUCCACAGGCUCUGGCAGUUGGGGAGGAGAGAUUCUUUUACCCCGGACACAAGAGUGCGAAAGGGGCGGAGGCUCAGGGAAGGCUUACGCUGUGGCACCGGCAGAGUUGUACGGAAGGCAGAGGGCACAGAGCAUCUUAAGGGAGAACAUAGCGGAAGAAGAUCUAGAGAUAGCUAUUCCCUCGCACACCCUGGCUGAAACGGACAGUAACCAGAGCGAUGGCAGUCUGAAUCACUCCAUCUUCCAUGCUCAGGUAAAGUCCCUUGGAACAGGUGACAUUUGAGCUAAGAUCUGAAAUAUGGAAAGGAGAUGACAGGGGACAUUGUGAUUAAAAAAGAAAAAAAGCCCACAGACCACUUCGGUUAAGGAAGUAGUAAGUGCCAAGGCCCGGAUGUAGCAAAGACCUUGAGAUUUGUGAAUGAGGAUAAAGGUACAGGGUGGGGGUAUGAAUUAGGGGGAGAAGUUGAGGUCAUAGAAGUAGGCAAAGGCUGGAUUGUAUAGCAAUAAGGGGCAGGAAACUAUUUUUGUAGAGAGCCAGCUAGAAAAAACAUUUUAGGGUCUGGAGGCCCCUGUGUGUGUUCCAUAUCCUCAUUUCUGCCAGCACAGUGGGGAGGUACACAGACAAUAUGGCUGCAAGGACAGUGGAGGCCCAGAUUCAGUGUAUAGGUAGUAGCUGGCUAAGCUUUGGAGUAGGGUAAUUGAAUUAUAUAGUAAAGAACUUUGCAUUUUAUUCUAAGUGAAAAGUUGGGAGAUUUUGAACAGGCAGCAUCUUAGGGUCCCAUGUUGCUUGAGGAAGGUGUCUUGUAACAGAAUUUAUAAUGUAAAUGUUUUAUUUCUCCACUGUCUCCUUUCCUUAUUAUGAACUCUGUUUCAAGGUACCUUUUGAAACCUGAAGGAUAAGUCUUCGGUGGUUGCUUGUGCUGUUUUCUAGUUAUGUAACCUUAGGGAAAUUGCUUUAUAUAUCUCCGAGCCUCAGUUUCUGUCUUCAUAAAACUGCAGUAACACCUUUCUGAAGAGUUACUAAAUGGAUUAAAUGAGAUCAUGUAUAUAAAACAUCUGUCAUGCUACUUGGCAGAGUAAGGGCCCAAUGAUGUAAACUGCUUUUCUUUUCUUUUUUCUUUCCAUUCAGCCUAUAUUUUUCAUACUGCAGUUAAAGCAGAGGUAAAUGUGAAACUUAAUAAUCAGGUUCAAAACAUCAGUCUCUGAAGCACAGACUGAGAAACUGCUCAGCAUCACUAGGUGAUUUGGACAAUGCAAUUUUAAUUUGUAUGAACAGAAGCACAAUUUCUGAUUAUAAUAAUGGUAAAUACACUAGUAUUUCUGUGUUAUUCAAACCAUAUUCACAGUAAUAAUUCUGGGUAUUCAAACCAUAUUCAGAGUCCCAGGAAUAAUUCUGGGCAUACUAAGUAUAGUAUAUUCAAAGAAGAAUAACACGAUAUGAAGGGAGUUGGGAAACAUCACAUAUAAAGUGUACUGGAAAUGUUUAGCUUGGGAGGAAAACACUAAAAAACUUGAAAAGAGUACCAAUAAUUGAAGGGCUAUCUUUCAUUUGGAUAGAAAGAUAUUCACACCCUACUGGAAUAGACAUUUGCACUUUUGGACUUUUGGGUAGAAGAUACAGAGAUAAGAUUUUUCCACUACAGUUAAAAAUCUCCAUGAUAGCGGAAGUGACCUCCCAGUCAAUGCAGGCUUUUCAGAAAAGAUGGUCAAGUGUUCAACAGCUGAGAGAUCAUCCAAAGUAUUUCUACAGUGACAACACCCACAGAUCGAAAGCCUUCUCAUUGCACCUUCCUAAUCUCUGGUUCCAAUAAACAUGCAGGCUACGUUAAACAAUCCUCAGGAGAUCCAGGAGACCUUCUGGGGUACCAGGUAUGGAAUCCUUCUUUGGGAGUCUCUGGUAAAAUGAGGAAGGUGAGAUGUGUAGACUCAUGCAGGGUCAUGAGUUAGAUGUAAAUUGGAAUGCAGUAAAUUUCAUGUCACUGAAAAGUAGAGGAAGAUUACAAGAGAAAAAAAAGGCGGUCAGGAAGUUCUCACUAAACCAUUCUGAAACUGGUGACCAACUCCCCUAUUCCUGUGUAGCCUCCCGGAGGACCCUAUCAAUUGCAUUUUUUUGUAGGAUGAGAUAAGAAAAUGCAAAUGAGGAAAUGUAAGCUCCAGCGCAGUCUUUCUUGUUUAUUGCUUUAUUCUGAUUCGCAAAAGCAGGUCAACAAAUGUUUAGGGAGGGCAGGGGAUUUAACUCAGUGGUGCCGCCACCUGCCUCACAAGUGCAAGGACCUGAGUUUGAUCCCUGUACCCUCCCCUAAAAAAUGUUUAUGGAAAAAACGAGGAAGUAGAAAGAACGAGAGCAGAAAUAUCUUCAAGUGCAAUAUGGUAGCAGAGAAGAAUGGGAAUUAGAUUAAGUUCAAUAUAAAAUCCUGAAAAUUUAAGAAAUUUGUCUCACAGUGGUGUACCGAUAAUAAACACAUCACCCCAAAUUUAGUCUUGUUGUUUCAAACGAGUGCACAUUUGAGAUUGGCUGACUAUGUUGGAUUUGAUCUGAAAAAGGGUUAUCCUCCAGAACCCAGAGCAAACUAGUUCUAAUCUGUGAAGGAUGGAGAAGGAAUUAUCCCUCUUAGGGCACAGCAGAUGUUUUGGCUGCAAGAGUCCAUGGGUUGCCCAACGAAAAUGCACAAGAGAGGUGGUAUAAGAAAGGAUAAGAAGAAAUGAAUACGAAAGGUGAAGUAAAUAAGUUUUGGGUGGGGGAAUCAUAACACUUCCUUCAUGCCUUACCUAAUCUGACUCUAAUUUUGCCCACAAGAUAGCAUUACCAGUGGAAUAAAAAUCAUUUGCGUCCCAGAGUGAUAAGGAACUUGGGCAAGGAUUCAUGGUAGAAUGUUACUAUAGAAAGUCCCAACGAUGGAUUCUCUGGCCAUGCCAUCAGGUGGUGGGCAUGCUACGAAGGAGGUAUUAAUUAAGCACCUACCCUGUGCUAGCCACUGUUGAGAACUGAUUGAUAUGUGUCUUGUUUGCAGGCUUCCCUGCCAUGGUUUGACUGCCCUACAGCUAUGGUCACGGGCGGACCCAGCUUUUGUGAAGGCUGAAGCUUCUCCUACUUUUUAAAACAAAAAUUAUUUUGCGGGGGCUCUUUAAGAAAAAGAACAUAAUUUUGAAACAAUGAGAUUAAAUAUAAACCCCCAAGCUUGUCCUUUAGGAGUGUUGAAGUUCAGCCUCUAUGUUUGCUUCUUAGUAAAUCCGUUUCUGACUGUGGUGAUGGGUCACCCAGGAAUAUAAAAUGUGUCAUAGUGGUACCUUCGAGGUGUUCAUUUUGGAAAUCAGGGGAUGAGAAAGGAUAGGACAGGGUUAAAGUGGGAAUAUUAAGCACACAGCUCACAGUAGCCCAUGUGUUUUCACCAUAGGCCAAA
rnacentral:lncRNA from 1 species